rnacentral:misc_RNA from 1 species
GAGAUAGGGUCUUCACGGCCCGACCUCCAACCCUCUGUUGUUAAAACUACCUUGUUGCUUUGGCGGGACCGUCUCGGUCUCCGAGCGCACUAACCCUCGGGUUGGUGAGCGCCCGCCAGAGAAAACCAAAACUCUUUUUAUUAGUGUCGUCUGAGUACUAUAUAAUAGUUAAAACUUUCAACAACGGAUCUCUUGGUUCU